ACAUAGGAUAUGGGAUUAAAUUAAAAUUAAAUCUCUCACUUGCUCAUUUUUUAAUGCUUGGUCGCAGCGUAAGAGAUUUAAUUUUAAUUAGAUUGUAUUAGACGUAACAAGCAAUGAUUUGUCACCAAAACUAUUGUUGUGUUGAUCAUAUUUGAUUCAUGUAUGGCCAAUUCCAUGUAUAUUUUUACAGCAAUUCUGAUCUUUCAUUCUGCUCUGAUAGAUUUGUACGUUGCAUUGUGUAAGACCUAAAAUCAUCUCAUAAGGGGUCAUGUUCAAUGACUAUACCCUUAAAAACUUUCUAUAUUUUUUUGCCAUAUGAACUAUAAAUAAUAUUGUUGAAAAAAUUCAGCGGCUUUUUUCAUAAAUUAUCUCAAGAGUAAAAAUGAUGUCUCAAGCAAAAUUACUUUUGUCUAGCUGAAAAUAUUGCUCAAGUCAACCAGCAUGAUUCAAAUGUCUUUAUUUAUCCCAGUUUAACUGAGUCUUUUAAUCGCUCUAAAGAUCUGAAUAGAAUUUCCCUCAUCCAAAAAUAGAGGUCAAUAGAUAAAUUAUUUAUAAUGCAAAGUUUUUGUUUUCCAUCUGAACACAUGGAUGCCAUAUUUUGUCACUUUUAUGUGAUUUUAACAAGGUAUUUUAUUUUACCUUGGAUAAUCUCUCUUUCAUGUUUGUAAAAUAUCUUUAUUUU
rnacentral:lncRNA from 1 species